UACGUAGGGACCAAGCGUUGUUCGGAUUUACUGGGCGUAAAGGGCGCGUAGGCGGCAAUUCAAGUCAGCUGUGGAAUCUCCGGGCUUAACUCGGAACGGUCAGCUGAUACUGCUUUGCUAGAGUGCAGAAGGGGCAAUCGGAAUUCUUGGUGUAGCGGUGAAAUGCGUAGAUAUCAAGAGGAACACCUGAGGUGAAGACGGGUUGCUGGGCUGACACUGACGCUGAGGCGCGAAAGCUAGGGUAGCAAACGGG
rnacentral:rRNA from 1 species